AGCGUCCCAACUCGCCGCAGUGCCCCCAGCAGCCAGCCCCACAAAGCUCUUCCUUCGCACACCUCGCCUGCUGCCACAGCCAGACACUCCCCAGCCAGAGCACACACAGACAACCAGUUUUCUUAGGGUGCCAACUGUGAUGCAGCAGGCAAGAAGGAAUGGAUCUGAAAUGAAGUAAUGGGUGAGGUUUAACAGAAGGCAAACCAAAAAAGGUUCCCCGGCUGAAAAAAAUGUUCCCCUGCAGCUGGAGUACCAGCAAGAGAAAGAUCAUUACUGCAAAGCACAUCAGAAUGAAACCCUCGAUAUCAGCCUUCAAAACAAGUGAUGUUUGACGGAAUGUCUGUCUCUGGCAUACCAAAGUUCUCAUCAUCAGGAAGGAUUGUCCAUCAACAGGAAGGAUUUGUAAUA